GAACAUCUGAUUAUUCCAAACGAAAGAGCAUGCUUUUUUCUAUAUAAUGGCAUAUUCUUUAAUGAUCAUUUCUAAAUAGUUAAAAUUUUAUGAAGAAUAUAGACAAAAUUUGAGUAUCGUUCGAUAGCGAAUUUUUACGGUUUUUUCAAUUAUAAAUUGAAAAAAUGUGAUAUUUCUAAGCCGAUUUUCGAACAUCCGACCAUGGCAAACGAAAGAGCAUACUUUUUUCUAUAUAAUGGCAUAUUCCUUUGAGAACUUUUCUAAAUAUUUAAAAUUUUAUGAAGAAUAUAGACAAAAUUUUAGUAUCGUUCGAUCGCGAAUUUUCACGGUUUUCGAUCGCGAAUUUUCA